UUAGUAGUAUAAUUAGGUUUUUAGUCAUAAAAAUAAAGAGAAAAAGAGAGGUAGAAAGAGAAAGUAGAAAAGAAGAGUUUUAGAGACAAGAUCAAGAGUAGAAGGAGAACUUGGAAAUUGAAGAAGAAGGAGUAAAGAUUCCAACUUUGAUAAGAGUUGCAGGUUGAGAACCUUGAGCCUCAUAUCUAGUCGCGCCGCUUUAUUGCUUCUAGUUCUUUUGGUGAGAGGAUAGCUUUAGGCUACUCCUAUUUUGUUUAGUAUCUAGAUUACCCGAGUCUUAGUCUAGAUGCUCUGAUACUUGUACCACCUUAGGAUUCAUCUUUUGUCGCUUAUGAUGUCUGAAAUUAUGUAUAGGAGCCUUAUGCCGAAAUUAUUUUGUUAUUCGGAUGACUGUAUUACUACUAUGAUUGUGAUACCUAUGCAUGUUUGGAUUAGUCUGUUGAACUAAUGUCUUUGGAUAUUAUGAAUAUGCAUGAUUUCAAAGUAUUUAUUUUAUGAGAUA